rnacentral:rRNA from 1 species
ACUCCUACGGGAGGCAGCAGGUGGGGAAUAUUGGACAAUGGGCGCAAGCCUGGAUCCAGCCAUGCCGCGUGAGUGAUGAAGGCCCUAGGGUUGUAAAGCUCUUUCACCGGUGAAGUAUAAUGACGGUAACCGGAGAAGAAGCCCCGGCUAACUUCGUGCCAGCAGCCCGCGGUAAUACGAAGGGGCUAGCGUUGUUCGGAUUUACUGGGCGUAAAGCGCACGUAGGCGGACUUUUAAGUCAGGGGU